UCCUGGUUCCUUAAAUUUGGUGAAACUGGC
rnacentral:piRNA from 1 species